rnacentral:rRNA from 1 species
GGUAGCACCCGGACGGGUGCCGCGUGAGUCCGGGGGGUGCGAGCGUGAAGCGGAAUUACUAGGCGUGAAGCGCACGCAGUCGGUUUGAUAAGUUAGAUGUGAAAGGCCCGGGCUCAAACUGGGAAUUGCAGUGAAAACUGUCCAGCUAGAGUCUUGUGGAGGGGGGUAGAAUUCCAGGUGUAGCGGUGAAGUGCGUAUAGAUCUGGAGGAAUACCGGUGGCGAAGGCGGCCCCCUGGACAAAGACUGACGCUCAGGUGCGAAUGCGUGGGGAGCAAACAGGAUUAGAUACCCUGGUAGUC